GUGGCACUCGGGUCUGGUCCUGACCUGCACGACCUCGGUGCCGUUCCGCUCUCGGCAGGUCACGUUUUGGAUCACGCGGUAGGCGCAGAGAUUCCUGCGCGAACAGCAACACAGUUCGGCUCGAGAUCUCGCAUGACCGCUCUCCCGAGUCUAUCGACCGCGUGCGUCGCAGCUCGCGAGCACUUUCUCGGAUGUGGCUAGCCGUGCAGUCGCUGUCGCAAUCCAAGCCAGCAGGAGUAGCAGCGUCGUCUGGAUGAAUAAGGCCAUGGCGUCUCCAGCAGCGGGCGCUCCACCCUUGUCGUCGGGCGAAGAUUUCCUCAGGCGAUCACAUAGAAACCUGCGCCUUGUUCUGAGAAGCGCGUUAUCGC